GGGUUGUGAGGUUAAGCGACUAAGCGUACACGGUGGAUGCCCUGGCAGUCAGAGGCGAUGAAGGACGUGCUAAUCUGCGAUAAGCGCCGGUAAGGUGAUAUGAACCGUUAUAACCGGCGAUUUCCGAAUGGGGAAACCCAGUGUGAUUCGUCACACUAUCAUUAACUGAAUCCAUAGGUUAAUGAGGCGAACCGGGGGAACUGAAACAUCUAAGUACCCCGAGGAAAAGAAAUCAACCGAGAUUCCCCCAGUAGCGGCGAGCGAACGGGGAGGAGCCCAGAGCCUGAAUCAGCAUGUGUGUUAGUGGAAGCGUCUGGAAAGGCGCGCGAUACAGGGUGACAGCCCCGUACACAAAAGCGCAUGUGCUGUGAGCUCGAUGAGUAGGGCGGGACACGUGGUAUCCUGUCUGAAUAUGGGGGGACCAUCCUCCAAGGCUAAAUACUCCUGACUGACCGAUAGUGAACCAGUACCGUGAGGGAAAGGCGAAAAGAACCCCGGCGAGGGGAGUGAAAAAGAACCUGAAACCGUGUACGUACAAGCAGUG
rnacentral:rRNA from 3 species